rnacentral:ncRNA from 2 species
CGAUGAGGUAGAGGUCGCAAAAAAUAAAAGUAAUAUAGUCGAGAUGUAAAAGCAUUGGUGACAUUAUAUGAAAGGAUUUUUUGCCGAAGUGGUGGAUUGCUUUUACAAUCAACUGCUGGGGCUGUCGCUUAAUAGGUGCAGAACUGUCACAUCUGUGAGGGUGUGUUGAGCUAUCUUUUUC